UACGUAGGGGGCAAGCGUUGUCCGGAAUUACUGGGUGUAAAGGGUGCGUAGGCGGGUAUUUAAGUCAGAUGUGAAAUCCACAGGCUCAACUUGUGGACUGCAUUUGAAACUGAGUAUCUUGAGUGUGGGAGAGGUAAGUGGAAUUCCUAGUGUAGCGGUGAAAUGCGUAGAUAUUAGGAGGAACACCAGUGGCGAAGGCGACUUACUGGACCAUAACUGACGCUGAGGCACGAAAGCGUGGGGAGCAAACAGG
rnacentral:rRNA from 1 species